GUACUUGCUUGGGCAGCACAUAUACUAAAACAUUGUAAUGAUACAGAGAAGAUCAGCAUGGCCUCUGUGCAAGGAUGACACGCAAAUUCAUGAAGCGUUACUUAUUUUA